UACGAAGGUUGCAAGCGUUGUUCGGAAUCACUGGGCUUAAAGAGCAUGUAGGCGGCUCAUCAAGUACUUUGUGAAAUCCCCCGGCUCAACCGGGGAAUUGCUUAGUAUACUGUUAGAGCUUGAGGCAAGUAGAGGCGCGUGGAACUCUUGGUGGAGCGGUGGAAUGCGUAGAUAUCAAGAGGAACGCCGGUGGCGAAAGCGGCGCGCUGGGCUUGUCCUGACGCUGAGAUGCGAAAGCCAGGGGAGCAAACGGGAUUAGAUACCCCGGUAGUCCUGGCCCUAAACGAUGUCUACUAGGUCGGAGUCACUCUGACGUGUUUCUGGCCGAAACAAAAGCGUUAAGUAGAUCGCCUGGGGAGUACGGUCGCAAGGCUAAA
rnacentral:rRNA from 1 species